AUUGAACGCUGGCGGCAGGCUUAACACAUGCAAGUCGAGCGGGGUGAUGGUGCUUGCACUAUCACUUAGCGGCGGACGGGUGAGUAAUGCUUAGGAAUCUGCCUAUUAGAGGGGGACAACAUCUCGAAAGGGAUGCUAAUACCGCAUACGUCCUACGGGAGAAAGCAGGGGAUCACUUGUGACCUUGCGCUAAUAGAUGAGCCUAAGUCGGAUUAGCUAGUUGGUGGGGUAAAGGCCUACCAAGGCGACGAUCUGUAGCGGGUAUGAGAGGAUGAACCGCCACACUGGGACUGAGACACGGCCCAGACUCCGACGGGAGGCAGCAGUGGGGAAUAUUGGACAAUGGGGGGAACCCUGAACCAGCCAUGCCGCGUGUGUGAAGAAGGCCUUAUGGUUGUAAAGCACUUUAAGCGAGGAGGAGGCUCUUUUGGUUAAUACCCAAGAUGAGUGGACGUUACUCGCAGAAUAAGCACCGGCUAACUCUGUGCCAGCCGCCGCCGUAA
rnacentral:rRNA from 1 species